rnacentral:rRNA from 1 species
AGUCGACUCCUACGGGGAGGCAGCAGUGGGGGAAUAUUGCACAAUGGGCGCAAGCCUGAUGCAGCCAUGCCGCGUGUGUGAAGAAGGCCUUCGGGUUGUAAAGCACUUUCAGUCGUGAGGAAGGUAGUGUAGUUAAUAGCUGCAUUAUUUGACGUUAGCGACAGAAGAAGCACCGGCUAACUCCGUGCCAGCAGCCGCGGUAAUACGGAGGGUGCGAGCGUUAAUCGGAAUUACUGGGCGUAAAGCGCAUGCAGGUGGUUUGUUAAGUCAGAUGUGAAAGCCCGGGGCGUCAACCUCGGAAUUGCAUUUGAAACUGGCAGACUAGAGUACUGUAGAGGGGGGUAGGAAUUUCAGGUGUAGCGGUGAAAUGCGUAGAGAUCUGAAGGAAUACCGGUGGCGAAGGCGGCCCCCUGGACAGAUACUGACACUCAGAUGCGAAAGCGUGGGGAGCAAACAGGAUUAGAUACCCUGGUAG